rnacentral:rRNA from 1 species
GACAGAGGGUGCAAACGUUGUUCGGAAUUACUGGGCGUAAAGCGCGUGUAGGCGGCCCUGCAAGUCGGAUGUGAAAUCCCACGGCUCAACCGUGGAAGUGCAUUCGAAACUGCAGGGCUAGAGUCCUGGAGAGGAAGGUGGAAUGCUUGGUGUAGAGGUGAAAUUCGUAGAUAUCAAGCGGAACACCGGUGGCGAAGGCGGCCUUCUGGACAGUGACUGACGCUGAGGCACGAAAGCGUGGGGAGCAAACAGG